GCUUCACGGAGGCAUUCUUCUUCCAAGCGGGAUCUCAGGCAAGAUGACCAUUUCCCCAGAUACCGUUACUAUCAUUGCCAUGCUAGUUUUAUCGCUUCUAUCGAUUAUGUCUCGUUGCCUACCACAUGUUAAAUAUCAGCCUCUCAACAAUGCCAUGAUAACCUUCAACCUGUUCAACCUAGCAAACCACUGAUUGGCUAUGUUACUGCUUGCUUAACCCUGUUGUUAGCGUUGCUAGUUGCAGGUGCAGUUGCUUCCAUGUGAAACAUGGGUUCCUUGUUAUAUCACCAUAUUAAAUGCUAUUUAAUUUAAUGCGCCUAUAUACUUGGUAAAAGGUGGAAGGCUCAGCCUUUUCUAGCCUGGUGUUUUGUUCCACCUUUGCUCCCUUAGUUUCCGGCUACCGGUGUUAUGUUCCAUAAAUGAGCGCUCCUAACACGAUCGGGGUUGUUAUGGGGACCCCCUUGAUAAUUCAUUUUAGAUUAAAGCUGGUCUCGCAAGGCCCAACUUUGGUACUACAUUUGCCUAAUAACCUAAUAAUAAUGCAUAGGGACCCACCAGCACCCGCGGACUAUUUUAAUCAACUCCCGGGCCAGUGCUCCUCAUGAGUGUUGGUCCCACCUGAGCGAUGUCCGGCGCCCCUCUGGUCACCAGGAGGUUUAGCGAUCCCGAUGUCUAGCUCAUCCGUCGUGUCCUGAGAACGAGGUACGCGACUCCUAUCGGGAUCAUCGACACGUCGGGCGGCCUUGCUGGAUUAGUUUUACCUUUGACGAGAUAUCUUGUGCAUCGGGAUUCCGAUGAUGCUUUGGGUAAUCUCAGAGUUGAGGUUUUCCACUAGGGAAUCUGACGAGAUCGCGAGCUUCGUGAUUGAGGAUUUCUGUGCGGCUUGUGGUAAUUUGUGAUGGACUAGUUGGAGCACCCCUACAGGGUUAAAUCUUUUCGGUAAGCCAUGCCCACGGUUAUGUGGCAACGUGGAAACUUUGUUUAACACUGGUUCUAGAUAACUUGAAGUUAACUUAAUUAAAAUAUGCCAACUGUGUGCGUAACCGUGACUGUCUCUUUCGUGAGCUCCUUCUCCGAUCGAGGACACGGUGGGGUUAUGUCUGACGUAGGUAGGUGUUCAGGAUCAUUCUUUUGAUCAUCAGUAGACACGUUCGUUAUGCGUAGAUAUUCCCCCUCUUAUUUCUUGUACUCGUUAGUUUAGCCACCAAAUAUAUGCUUAGCCGCUGCUGCAACCUCACCACUUAACCUUGCCUCACCCAUUAAGCUUUGCUAGUCUUGAUACCUUUGGAAAUGAGAUUGCUGAGUCCCCUGUGGCUCACAGAUUACUACAACAUCAGUUGCAGGUACAUGUAAAGGUUACUUGACGCGAGCGCGUUGAUUGUUCAUUGGAGUUGCUUCUUCUUCUUCUUCAUCGAUCUAGGAUGGGUUCCAGGCCGGCAACCUGGGAUAGCAAGGAUGGACAUCGUUCUUAUUUUUCUCGUUUGUUUUCGUCCGUAGUCGGACCCUGCUCUUACUCUUGAUGAUUAUGUAAUGUACUGAUGUGACUCUGAUGUAGCUUGUGGCG
rnacentral:lncRNA from 1 species